CCUGCUGCCCACUCUGCUCUUGACAUGGCUGAGUGUGGAUCCUUUAGGCUCUUCCCAUGUAACACUGGAAAAUCUAUACCCUUUAGCAGGGGCAGACUGAUACCCUUCUCUAAUCCACAGAAUGAGGACCCAGACUUUGCAUAUUUUGAGACAAAGAUUCUUAACAAGAUUAUAGGCUUAAAAGUUAAGGCCAAAUGUGACCCAGCCAAAUGAUCAACACUGGCUGGAAAGCAGCCUAAUGGAGAGAGAUGAAGAACUCAAAGCUUGCUCCUCUGGCACUGUUGUGGUUCAUUAGAUGGCUGGUGCUGGACUGUGCAGCGUUACCCGCCCUGGCCAGGCCUGCCCCAGUGCCUGUGUGGCACAUGGCCCAUGAGUGGGGAGCUCCAUGUCCCAAAGGUCUCAGCUUCACUCCAGUGAACUCAGCUAGCGUUUUCCAGCACCAGUCCUUGUGCACUUUGGGUUCUGGGUUGAUGCAAUCCUGAGUUCAGCGAAGUCUGAACUCUGCUCACCCCUGCAGGCAACAGCAGAGAAAGUUCAGUCCCUAAAAAGCAGCCGCCUGACCUUGGUCAGCAAGAUCAGCAGAGCUGGAGCCAAUGGUACCGAGAGGUAUUUUAAAGGCCAGUUCUGGAAACUGUAGGCAUGUAUGAGCUCCCUUCCCUCCACUUCUCUAGGAUGGCUGAAGAACUGUAUGCUUUCACACGGGGAGUAGCUGUGUAUUCCUCUGGUGCUCCAGGAUAUGUCCUGGUGUCAGUAUGUCUGCCCCUUGUCACCCCUUCCCUCACCACUCCAGCUAUAUGGAUGAGCAGCGAAAGCAGAACAAACACCUGCAAAGACAAGGCAGCAAAUAAAGGCACUGCAAUUACCAGGGCUCUUUCUGGCUCUGUGCCUAGCAGAUGCUUCAGAUCUGACAGGCAGAUCUUCUCUUUGUGGCCCAAGCAGCUCCAGAGCCGGGGCUCUGCCAACCCUUUGCUUUACAACAACAAAGAGCCCCAGUGUGCGAGUGCUGUGGAGGGGUGACGGGCUCCCCCAGCCCUCUCAGCUUUUUCCAGUCGUUGCUAUUAUCAGCUCAUGUAACCUUCCCUCUUUCAAGGCUCUGAUAAUGAGCACCUAGGACAGCCAGGUGACCUUUGGCUGAGCUUCCUUUUUAAACUCCCGUGGCUUUUGCUCCAUUGCCUAGUUGUUACCCAGCAGUUAAGAUCUGUUCUGAUAGCAGCAGAGUCUGCUCCCCUCCCUUUUCCCCUCUUACUCACACAGGAUCAAAGCUCUCUCUCUGAAUUUGCUUGAACAAAUUUGCAUUUAGGUCAGUGAGAGAUUUACUUGAGGAAGAGAUUUUUUUUUGUCCUGUCUUUUUCUUAACUCCGUAAGAAAGGAUAAUAAGCACAAAGGCAGGUGGGAGAAAAAAACCCUGUGUACUAUAAAUAAAUGAGUUUGGCACA